AUCUAACUGAUGGGUCUCAAAUAGGACGAAAUGCGCGUCAUAGGU
rnacentral:hammerhead_ribozyme from 1 species